UGGGGAAUCUUGCACAAUGGGGGCAACCCUGAUGCAGCGACGCCGCGUGAGCGAUGAAGCCCUUCGGGGCGUAAAGCUCUUUCGACCGGAACGAUAAUGACGGUACCGGGAGAAGAAGCUGCGGCUAACUACGUGCCAGCAGCCGCGGUAAUACGUAGGCAGCAAGCGUUGUUCGGAGUUACUGGGCGUAAAGAGUGCGUAGGCGGUUUUCUAAGUUAGGUGUGAAAUCUCCCGGCUUAACGGGGAGGGGGCGCCGAAGACUGGGAAGCUGGAGUGUGGGAAAGGCAGGCGGAAUUCCUGGUGUAGCGGUGAAAUGCGUAGAUAUCAGGGGGAACACCGGCGGUGUAGACGGCUUGCUAGACCAUAACUGACGCUGAGGCACGAAAGCGUGGGUAGCAAA
rnacentral:rRNA from 1 species